UUAUACCUGUACACAAUAAAAAAAUCAUUAAUGAAAAAUAAAAACAAUGAAUUAAUUAGUAUCUUUACUAUAUUCGGCUGCGAAUUUAGUUAUGAAAUUAAAAGUGACCCAGUAUUUAUAGAAUAAGAUAAUACUUUUACAAAUUCAUACAAUACUUUUUAAAUGAUUACUCCUGGUUUAUCUAUCGUCAUCAUGAAGAACUUUAAAUUUUAAGUUCAUGAUCUGUGUUUCUUAAACGUCACUUAUAUUACAACUUAUAUUUUAAUAUAUUUAUUAUAAUUAUACUAAAAUUCAACAAUAAUUUUAAACUGUGAAAUUUUAAUACUAAUGUUUAUGAAAAAAAAGCAUGCCCUAUAAACCUAGGGUAGAUUUAAUAGUGUGACAUUUUCUAUAGAACCAUUAAAAAAAAAAAUUAUUUAAUCAAUUAAAAAUCAUAAAAAUAAAACGUAACAAAAUGUUGGUGUGUAUAUAAAUUUUUCUAGUGUAACUCGUACUUUGUUGGCGAACAAAACCGGGCUGACGAUGCUACGUGCUCACGGUUUAUCGUACGGGCCGUGACGUCAUCUGCAGUCUACGACGACACGACACGACGGAAAAUAGUAUGUAUGUAUAGUAUGCCAGCAAGAGAAAAGAACGUCUGGCAACAUCGUGGCGUUAUUCAACGUUGCCAAAUUAUUAUCAGAGAUUUGGUUGCGCAUAAACACCCACACAUAGCAGCAAUAGAAGAAAGAGCCUAUUACACGUAUCACAUACGCCGUUGCCAAUGUUGCCGCGUUAAGAGAAGAAUAAAAGAGCAACAAAUACUCAAGUGUGAAUUGAAGAGAAAUAAAUUGAUGAGUUGAGUCUUUACUAUUAGCUUACGCGCCGGAAAUCAAACUCAUCACUUUCGUUUAUAAUCUUCCCGUUAUAUUUUUAUUGUGUUAUAAAUAUUUUUGAAAAAUUUAUAAAAAGAAAAAAAAAAGGAAUCAAUCAAUUUUAAAAAUUUUUUCCUGAAAUUUGUUUCCUGGAGACUGCAAGACAAAAGAAAUUAAAACAAAAAAAAAUAUUUCUAUGUCACGUCACAGACACAUAUUAUUGUUAUGGAAUUGCUGCAGAGUUGAGACUCGGAGAAAAUCAAUCCGGUUCUUCAUCUACUAACUUUUCGAUGAAAGAGCGCCGAGGUUGUAAUGUGGUACUAACCGCCUGGCAAAAUUCCGCUUGCUUUUCAUUUCCCUCUACUUCUACCAGUCACGGUGAACAAGUGAACGAUGGAAACGACAUCUGACGACUGCACUUUAUCAUGCUCAAUGGGCUUGCAGGCAAACCGUCAAAAGUAUAAAUUUCAGAAGUAUACCAACCUUAGAAAAUCACAGUUUCGAACGUAAAAAAUAAAGAUUGCUCCCUGAUAGAGGAAAGUUAAUGGCCAACAAGCUCUUUCGAUUGCCACCUUAAACAUCCAAAUCGAUUCAUUAGUAUACAUACACUCGGACAUCAUUCUGAAAAUAGUCAGAACAGCUUCCUAGGACCUCAAAACGUCGACAUCUGAUGAAAACUCGAUUUUCGAAAAUCGGGGUGAAAACAAUAACUUCCCGAAUUUUUGAAAAUUUACAAUUUUCUUAGCGGGAAGUUAAAAACUUGAAGAAUGGAAGAUAAGCCGGUUAGAGACCGCAAUAAAACUCGAGCGGUCCAAGCAUCGGGUAACGCAGCAGCUGUUGAGAAAGUCGACCAAGCGGCGAGCAGAAGAUUCAACCUCGAGGGGCAGAAGUAGUGACUGUGACGUCAUGAGGCCCCGACUACGUCCCCACAGCCAGCCAAUAAGGGAAACUUACCCUGCCAUGGUCCCCAAGGGCAACGCCUCUUCAAAACUUAGAGUUGGAAUAAUCUUAAGAUGAAUUUUGUAAGGCAAAAUAAGCCAGAAGCUCGAGUGCGAAUGUCGCAUCUUGUACUAAGCUAAAAUAUAUUUUCCACUUUAAUUGUUCAGAUAAAAAAGUAAACUUUAUUUUUCAUUGAAAAAUCUUUUCCCAAUUUACAAUCGGUAUACCAAAGCUGAGUAUUUAAAUACUCCCGGGCGAAAUAACCCCAUACAGAUAAUUCACAUUAUAGUAAAUUAAUUAAUCAACCUCCCAAUAGGUGGAGGACAUAACAUAUCUAGCCGAGGCUUGCCAGAAACUUGUCGUUAAGUUAGCCGUAAAUGUUUCACUGCAGAACUUGCUAAGCAAUUAUGUUCAGAGUGUGACUAUCAGGGAAAUUGAGCAAAUAUUAACCGUAAAUCUUUGUUUCCAACUUUAGCCGUCAAAUUGUCUGCAAAUUCAGGCAGCAAAUUUCAGGCAAUUUCAAUGUCAAAUUACUGUCAAUUUCAAGCUAAAGUGGAUUAGGGUUAUUACUAGAAUUACCUGGGAAUUUACAUGUACGGACGUCAUUAAAAAUUAAUGGUGUAGUGUGUUUAAACCAUCGGAAUAUUGGCUCCGUGCGCUUACGUAUACUACUAUAGAAGUCAAUGUGUUUGUGUAUACGUAUUAUCCUCCAGAAGUUCCGAUCCUCCUGGUUGGUGGCGCUGUCAUUAUGCAUCUAUACGUCUACACUGAUGAUUUAAUAGUAUUAGUAUUUUCGUGCACGGAGCCAAUAUAUAUAUACGAUAUAGAUAUUUGUCACAAUUUCAUGUUUGAAUUUUUUUUAUGAGUAUUGAAUUUAUUAUAAAUAAAUUUGAAAUUUCUUCACAAUUAAAAUAUACUAUUAAUCAUCACUAUUGAAUUGUUUUUAAAUUCAUGUAAU